AGUGAACGCUGGCGGUAGGCCUAACACAUGCAAGUCGAACGGCAGCACAGUAAGAGCUUGCUCUUACGGGUGGCGAGUGGCGGACGGGUGAGGAAUACAUCGGAAUCUACUUUUUCGUGGGGGAUAACGUAGGGAAACUUACGCUAAUACCCAAACGGACCUCCGGUUAAAAGCAGGGAACUUUCGACCCUUCGCGGUUUGAUGGGCCCGAUGUCGGAUUAGCUAGUUGGCGGGGUAAAGGCCCACCAAGGCGACGAUCCGUAGCUGGUCUGAGAGGAUGAUCAGCCACACUGGAACUGAGACACGGUCCAGACUCCUACGGGAGGCAGCAGUGGGGAAUAUUGGACAAUGGGCGCAAGCCUGAUCCAGCCAUACCGCGUGGGUGAAGAAGGCCUUCGGGUUGUAAAGCCCUUUUGUUGGGAAAGAAAAGCAGCAGGUUAAUACCCCGCUGUUCUGACGGUACCCAAAGAAUAAGCACCGGCUAACUUCGUG
rnacentral:rRNA from 1 species